rnacentral:lncRNA from 1 species
UUGGCCAAUAUAGACGUCAAAAUUCUGCUGCUCUUUUCUUUCCAUUGAGCUAUCUUGUUGACUUGAACGUCGGAGGAUCCUCGUCAGAGCUAUCUCUGAAGAGAUUUUCUUUGUAGGUCCCUCUUCCCUGAUGCUGCGUGGAGGUCAUCACCGACAUCUGUCGCCACCCUCACUCUCGCUCUUGGCCUUCUUGACUGUGCACCUUC